rnacentral:lncRNA from 1 species
GAAUCUGGUUUUGCAGUUCGGCUCUCGUUGAGGAGGAACCCGGUGGUGAGGGAUCGUUUGUUUACCCUCGUCUUGGCUGGGGCUUUCGCUCAUGGGUUUUACUUGGUGUAUCCUUUUCCUUGCAUUCUUUUUCUUUUUGUUGCCAUCUCGUGCUUUUGGCUGUUAUUUGUUCAUGUUCAUGGUAUUGAUGGAUUGUGUUUAUUAAAGCAUUUGUCUUUAAAUUAUGUCAAGAUUUUCUGCCAUUGUUCUUCUAUAGAUAAAUGUAUUAGUAUUUUCCAUUGUAUCCAUUUAUUACUGUCUAUUGCAGAUUGAUCCGUCAACGGUUUGUAAUUGUAUAGGAUCUAGAAAAUGGUGGUGUCUUCGUUGGUACAAGAUGUUAAGUCCUUAAUAGGAGUCUCAUUACAGGAGGUUACUAGAUGCAUGUCUUGUAGUGCUUCUGAGCGAGCAGUUUCAUCCUCAUGAUCUUCGUGAACUGAGGAUUUGAUGGAUAAGGUGCAAAACCUUAAACGUUAAUGGCCUUGUUUCGCUCUUGAUCCCUUGACAAACUUUGGUAUACAU